rnacentral:rRNA from 1 species
GACAGAGGAUGCAAGCGUUAUCCGGAAUGAUUGGGCGUAAAGCGUCUGUAGGUGGCUUUUUAAGUCUGCCGUCAAAUCCCAGGGCUUAACCCUGGACAGGCGGUGAACUACCAAGCUGGAGUACGGUAGGGGCAGAGGGAAUUUCCGGUGGAGCGGUGAAAUGCGUAGAUAUCGGAAGGAACAUCAGUGGCGAAAGGCGACUUCCUGGACCAAUACUGACGCUCAUGUGCGAAAGCGUGGGGAGCAAACA